AGUCAUAUGCUUGUCUCAAAGAUUAAGCCAUGCAUGUCUAAGUAUAAACGAUUUAAUCGUGAAACCGCGAAUGGCUCAUUAUAACAGCUAUAAUUUACUUGAUCUUGACACAAUCCUACUUGGAUAACUGUGGUAAUUCUAGAGCUAAUACAUGCAUUAAAGCUCUGACCUCACGGGAAGAGUGCAUUUAUUAGAACAAAACCAAGCGGCUUCGGCUGUUUCUGGUUGACUCAUAGUAACUGAGCUGAUCGCAUGGUCUUGCACCGGCGACGUGUCUUUCAAGUAUCUGCCGUAUCAACUUUCGAUGGUAGUGUAUCUGACUACCAUGGUGAUCACGCGUAACGGAGAAUAAGGGUUCGGCUCCGGAGAGUUCGCCUGAGAAAUCGCGAACACAUCUAAGGAAGGCAGCAGGCGCGAAAAUUACCCACUCUCAGCACGAGGAGGUAGUGACGAAAAAUAACGAGACCGUUCUCUUAUGAGGCCGGUCAUCGGAAUGGGUACAAUUUAAACCCUUUAACGAGUAUCUAUGAGAGGGCAAGUCUGGUGCCAGCAGCCGCGGUAAUUCCAGCUCUCAAAGUGCAUAGAAUUAUUGCUGCGGUUAAAAAGCUCGUAGUUGGAUCUGUGCCAUAGGACGUGGUCCACCUUCGGGUGCGUACUACGCUCCUAGGCUUUUUGCUGGUUUUCCCGUCGUAGCCUUCACUGGUUGCGGCGGGUGGCUGGCGAGUUUACUUUGAGAAAAUCAGAGUGCUCAAUACAGGCGUAUCGCUUGAAUGAUUGUGCAUGGAAUAAUAGAAAAGGAUUUCGGUCCUCUUUUAUUGGUUUUGUGGACUGAGAUAAUGGUUAACAGGGACAAACGGGGGCAUUCGUAUCUCUGCGUGAGAGGUGAAAUUCUUGGACCGUAGAGAGACGCCCUACUGCGAAAGCAUUUGCCAAGAAUGUCUUCAUUAAUCAAGAACGAAAGUCAGAGGUUCGAAGGCGAUCAGAUACCGCCCUAGUUCUGACCGUAAACGAUGCCAACUAGCGAUCCGCCGGUGGAUUUUUAGCCCUGGUGGGUAGCUUCCCGGAAACGAAAGUCUUCCGGUUCCGGGGGAAGUAUGGUUGCAAAGCUGAAACUUAAAGGAAUUGACGGAAGGGCACCACCAGGAGUGGAGCCUGCGGUUUUUUUUGCAUGCAUUUGAGAAUCUGUCGCAAUUAACCAAAUUCAGAAAAGAAAAGCAUCGUCCACCAUCAACCAAAUUUAGAUAAAAAAUUUGGUUAACGACGAAUAUGUGAUACAACAUUUAAGAAGUAGGUCCAUCUGAAUCCUGAACAUAAAAGGAACAAUUAUUCAAAUAUGACAUGACGUUCAGUUCAGGUGUAACCGGGUAUUUCCCCGGGAACGGGGGCCAGCUCGUUCCUCCCAAACCUCUCCUCGUCGUAGAACGA
rnacentral:rRNA from 1 species